rnacentral:rRNA from 1 species
UAUUGGUCAAUGGGCGCAGGCCUGAACCAGCCAAGUAGCGUGAAGGAUGACUGCCCUAUGUUUUAUAAACUUCUUUUAUAUGGGAAUAAAACAGGGUAUGCAUACCCUCUUGUAUGUACCAUAUGAAUAAGGAUCGGCUAACUCCGUGCCAGCAGCCGCGGUAAUACGGAGGAUCCGAGCGUUAUCCGGAUUUAUUGGGUUUAAAGGGAGCGUAGGUGGACAGUUAAGUCAGUUGUGAAAGUUUGCGGCUCAACCGUAAAAUUGCAGUUGAUACUGGCUGUCUUGAGUACAGUAGAGGUGGGCGGAAUUCGUGGUGUAGCGGUGAAAUGCUUAGAUAUCACGAAGAACUCCGAUUGCGAAGGCAGCUCACUGGACUGCAACUGACACUGAUGCUCGAAAGUGUGGGUAUCAAAC